rnacentral:rRNA from 1 species
CCUACGGGAGGCAGCAGUAGAGAAUCUUCCACAAUGGGCGAAAGCCUGAUGGAGCAACGCCGCGUGGGUGAAGAAGGUCUUCGGAUCGUAAAACCCUGUUGUUAGAGAAGAAAGUGCGUGAGAGUAACUGUUCACGUUUCGACGGUAUCUAACCAGAAAGCCACGGCUAACUACGUGCCAGCAGCCGCGGUAAUACGUAGGUGGCAAGCGUUAUCCGGAUUUAUUGGGCGUAAAGGGAACGCAGGCGGUCUUUUAAGUCUGAUGUGAAAGCCUUCGGCUUAACCGGAGUAGUGCAUUGGAAACUGGGAGACGUGAGUGCAGAAGAGGAGAGUGGAACUCCAUGUGUAGCAGUGAAAUGCGUAGAUAUAUGGAAGAACACCAGUGGCGAAAGCGGCUCUCUGGUCUGUAACUGACGCUGAGGUUCGAAAGCGUGGGUAGCAAACAGGAUUAGAUACCCUGGUAGUC